AUAAUUUUUUAAAAAGCUUAUAAAGAGUAUUAAAUAUUUAUUCAACAAAUAUUUCUUGCAUACAUACUAGGCAUUUUAUGGGCUAAAAAGAAAAAAAUAAGCUCAUCUGCUAUUUAUAAGAAAUAACAAACGAUAUUACACAUAUAUGUAAGUAAAAUAUAACAUCCACCCCCCACACUCCUCCCUACCCUCACUUCCCCUGCCAACAACAGCUCCCUGGCUGCCCCCCCACUCGGAUGUGGCUCGAGCUGGUGACACACAAGACUAGAGACACCACAGACCCACGACCCGGAGCAGCUUGGAGGCAGUGAAUAAUAACUCUUCAGGUCUGCAAUAACAAAUGGCCUCCAACAAAACCACGUUGCAAAAAAUGGGAAAGAAACAGAAUGGAAAAGUUAAAAAGUUGAAGAGGCAGAGCCUGAUGAAUUUGUGGUGGAAAAUGUACUAGAUCGACAUGUAGGGAAUGGGAAAGUAGAAUAUUUCCUGAAGGGAUUUACAGAUGCUGACAAUACUUGGGAACCUGAAGAAAAUUUAGAUUGUCCAGAGUUAACUGAAGCAUUUCUUAAUUCUCAAAAAGCUGUGAAGAAAAAGACGGUACAAAAAGAAAAUCUUUAUCUGACGGUGAAUCUGAUGAAGCAAAUCAAAGAAGAAAAGAGAUGCUGUUGACAAACCAAGAGGAUUUGCCAGAGGUCUUGAUACUGAAAGAAUAAUUGGUGCCACAGACGGCAGUGAAGAAUUGAUGUUGCUCAUGAAAUGGAAGGAUUCAGAUGAGGCAGACUUGGUGCUGGCACAAAAGGCAAAUAUGAAGUGUCCUCAAAUUGUAACUGCUUUUUACGAAGAAAGACUAACUUGGCAUUCUUGUCCAUAAGAUAAAGCCCAAUUAUUGUUCACAUUGUAUGUGUGUGUGUAUAUAGACACAUGUAUACACACACACAUAUAUAUAAAAUUUGCGGUUGG